rnacentral:rRNA from 1 species
UACGUAGGGGGCAAGCGUUGGUUCGGAAUUACUGGGCGUAAAGGGCGCGUAGGCGGCCUUCUAAGUCGGACGUGAAAUCCCUCGGCUUAACCGAGGAACUGCGUCCGAUACUGAAAGGCUUGAAUCCGGGAGAGGGAUGUGGAAUUCCAGGUGUAGCGGUGAAAUGCGUAGAUAUCUGGAGGAACACCGGUGGCGAAGGCGGCAUCCUGGACCGGCAUUGACGCUGAGGCGCGAAAGCUAGGGGAGCAAACGGGG